rnacentral:rRNA from 1 species
AGCGAACGCUGGCGGCAGGCCUAACACAUGCAAGUCGAACGGAUCCUUCGGGAUUAGUAGCGGACGGGUGAGUAACACGUGGGAACGUGCCCUUUGGUUCGGAACAACUCAGGGAAACUUGAGCUAAUACCGGAUGUGCCCUUCGGGGGAAAGAUUUAUCGCCAUUGGAGCGGCCCGCGUCUGAUUAGCUAGUUGGUGAGGUAACGGCCCACCAAGGCGACGAUCAGUAGCUGGUCUGAGAGGAUGAUCAGCCACACUGGGACUGAGACACGGCCCAGACUCCUACGGGAGGCAGCAGUGGGGAAUCUUGCGCAAUGGGCGAAAGCCUGACGCAGCCAUGCCGCGUGAAUGAUGAAGGUCUUAGGAUUGUAAAAUUCUUUCAGCGGGGACGAUAAUGACGGUACCCGCAGAAGAAGCUCCGGCUAACUUCGUG